UACGUAGGUGGCAAGCGUUGUCCGGAAUUAUUGGGCGUAAAGCGCGCGCAGGCGGUCCUUUAAGUCUGAUAUGAAAGCCCACGGCUCAACCGUGGAGGGUCAUUGGAAACUGGGGGACUUGAGUGCAGGAGAGAAGAGUGGAAUUCCACGUGUAGCGGUGAAAUGCGUAGAGAUGUGGAGGAACACCAGUGGCGAAGGCGACUCUUUGGCCUGUAACGUGACGCUGAGGCGCGAAAGCGUGGGGAGCAAACAGG
rnacentral:rRNA from 1 species